rnacentral:sRNA from 1 species
UGACCAGUAACGCUGAGUUCUCCUGGGGAGAAGCGGGGAAACCAAUUUUAGGGGUGAAUCCUCGGCACUUUAGCAGCACAUUUUGUCAUUCGAUGUGAGUGAGUGAGUGUCAGGUAGGGUUACCUUGCAACCCGAACCCGUCAGCUAACCUCGUAAGCGUGGGAAGGAAAGCCA